rnacentral:rRNA from 1 species
CCCUUAGAUGUUCUGGGCGGCCCGCGCACUACAUUGGCACUAGCAAAGAGAUCCUAGAUUGAAUUCUUUGGGGUAUUCUUCUAAAUGGUGUCGUGACUGGGAUAAGUCCUUGUAAUUAUUGGUUUUGAACGAGGAAUUCCUUGUAAUCGCGGUUUAUCAGCUCGCGUUGAAUGCGUCCCUGCCCUUUGUACACACCGCCCGUCGCCCCUACCGAUGGAUCGUCCGGUGAAGCUCACGGAGUGACUGUUCACGCAACGGUUUACGAAGUGAAAUGGACCUCACGAUUUAGAGGAAGGAGAAGUCGUAACA